ACUCCUACGGGAGGCAGCAGCAAGGAAUUUUCCGCAAUCGACGCAAGUCUGAGGCAGCAACUCCGCGUGCGGGAUGAAGGCCCUCGGGUUGUAAACCGCUUUCAGCAGGGACGAAAGUGACGGUACCUACAGAAGAAGCCCCGGCCAACUACGUGCCAGCAGCCGCGGUAAUA
rnacentral:rRNA from 1 species